rnacentral:rRNA from 1 species
UACAGAGGCCCCAAGCGUUACUGAGAAUCACUGGGUUUAAAGGGUGCGUAGGUGGCGCGUUAAGUCCGUUGUGAAAUCCCUUGGCUCAACCAAGGAAUGGCUUCGGAUACUGGCGUGCUUGAGGCCGGUAAGGGUACACUGGAACUGACGGUGGAGCGGUGAAAUGCGUAGAUAUCGUCAGGAACGCCAAUGGUGAAGACAGGUGACUGGGCCGGUUCUGACACUGAGGCACGAAAGCGUGGGGAGCGAACGGG